UGCAUCCAGCCCCUACCAACUACUUUGAC
rnacentral:sRNA from 1 species